UCUCCCUCGCUAUUGAAGGUUCUUGUGGACGAUCGCCAGGACGAAGGCAGUCAACUCGCACUGUUGUUGAUGCUUCAGGAGGCAGGAAGCAGCUAUCAGUCAGAAAAAACAGCCUACGAUGCCGUAGAGUCGCUUAAAAGUGCAUUUGGUGCUUUGAGAAGAACGACUAGGUAUAAUGUCCAAAGCCAGACUUAAUCACCAUGACGACCAUCAUUCUGCCUCAUCAGUCUGCAGAUUACACUCAGCUGUAUGAACUGGUGGAACUUCUUCUUGAGAAUGUUGUCCAAGUGAAGCGAAACCACCCCUUGGUUCGAGCAGCUGGCUGCAGCUGUCUCAGGGAAAUCGAGAUUUUUCAU